CAGACACGAUAAUUAAACAUCCACCUUUUAUCCAUGCGUUUCAUCCCUCUAUCGUUCAGCUGUUUGUUUUUCAGGAGCAGCGGGAUCAAGCGGUUAUUACGGCUGCGUCACACAGUUCUCCGGUCCUCCGCUGAGCGGCCGGCUGUCCUUGGCUCGACUUUCACCUGCUCGCGGUAGAUGAAGGGAUAAACAGGGGUGAAGAUGAUGGAGAUUGAAAAGGGGAUUAAUCUCCUCCAUUUCAGCCUCAUGACACCAAACCAUUCUUCUGUGGAUCCGCGUCGCUCUCCGCAAAGGGCAGGACUGGAGUCACAGAAACUGAGAUAUGGAUCGAGAGGUCCAUCAUGAAAAACGAUGCCGCUGUCCUCACUGGAACCUCAAGCCCAUCUGUCUCCAUGGAAGUUAUUUCCCAUAAUGCCUCUGUCCCUCAGAGUGGGAGCCGCUGACAGAGACGGUGGAAAGGGCAUUUUUCUCUCUCCAUUUGCAACAAAUGUCAUCAUCAGUCCCUCAAAGCCUGCCGCUGAAGAUUGAUUGGCGGCUUCAUCCACCAAUGAGAGACGCGUCUGCUUUCAUCCACUUGCAUUGUGUGGAAAUGAGCGGCUCAGGAGGACAAAAACUCAUUUUAUACUCAACAGAAGACUCAGAAGAAACUCAAGGGCCCCAGGCAGAUCACCCACAGAAUAAGAAACACUGCUAUCAGAGCACAGGAACAUUCAUAACACUGGAUGAUGCAUUUCCACUGUGAGGUCAAAGUGUGUCUUUGACCUGCGAUCAGCACAUUUUGACUAAGCUGAUGGGUGUCAUCCUGAACCGCGGCUGUUAGCUUCCCCUGCGGCAGCGCUGUGAAUCAAUAAACCCUCUGACCCCGGAGCCCAAGGAAUCAUCCAUCUGACCCUGUUAAAAUCUACUGGACAGAGAGAAAGAACCAGACUGAAAGAGAAAUGUCAAGCAGCAGCAGCAGCAUCCUCGGGCUCUUCAGCGCUGCUAAAGACAGAGAAACACUGCGUGGGAGGAAAAACACUGACCUACAUCAAUAUCUGCACUGAUCAACUGCAGGAAAUCUAAUAGAUCAAUACUACACAGUCGGUCUAGAUUAGAUUAUAUACUACUUUAUUUAAAUAAAUUUAUACUUUUAUUCAUCAAGGACACAUUAAAUUAAUCAAAAGUGCCAGUUAAGACAUUUAUAAAGUUUCAAAAGAUUUCUAUUUCAAA